AUCCCCAUGUCACAACCUUCCUCCAACGGCUGACGGAAUUUGAGUGGAAAACUUCAAAUUAGAUGACCAAUCGCCUCAGUGUUCUGGGCAACACGUGAAGAAGCCACCCACCUCAGCAUCCUGCAAAUAACUGGCUGUAUAGUUUAAUUCUUUUUUGCAACUGUGUUUAUGUAUUUUUACCUCUAUGUACCACAGUUUAUUUCUACCAACACAUAAUUUGCACGUUUUGAGCUAACUCUAGAGGAGGCUCCCCCUGAUUUAUGGUGGGAUUUUUAUUUCAAUGUAAAAAGAGAAAUCAAAUUAAAAGAAAAUGAAUAUCCAGUG